CACACACUUUUAUUCCAUAUUUAAAACACAGGCAUACACCAAAAGGACCUGGACUCAAAACCAGUUCAAACCUUCAUGUAAGUUCUUCUUAUUUUUAAUCCAUUUUUAUUUCAUGCAUAAAGGUACAGUUAAAUGUAACUGAACUUUAUGUUAACUACCAAAAACACAAGCACUUGUGAAUUUUGAUUUCAUCACAUCCUUUUUUGGUCAAGCAAAAAUAUAAAAUGAUGAAAUUGCUUGUUAUGUAAAUAAAGUACAGAGAACAUUGCAGCCAAAAGGUACAGUUGAUGUCUGAGCUGCUGGGUGAAAAAGGGACAAUUUACAGUUAAAUUCAUUAAAAGGAUGUAAGGUGCAGGAUAAACUAGACAAUAUGGAGAGAUGAACCACAGUAGAGUAAGACUGCAGCAAACAGGAC